ACACUCCUGCGGGAGGCAGCAGUGGGGAAUUUUGGACAAUGGGCGAAAGCCUGAUCCAGCAAUGCCGCGUGAGUGAAGAAGGCCUUCGGGUUGUAAAGCUCUUUUGUCAGGGAAGAAACGGUGAGAGCUAAUAUCUCUUGCUAAUGACGGUACCUGAAGAAUAAGCACCGGCUAACUACGUGCCAGCAGCCGCGGUAAUACGUAGGGUGCAAGCGUUAAUCGGAAUUACUGGGCGUAAAGCGUGCGCAGGCGGUUUUGUAAGUCUGAUGUGAAAUCCCCGGGCUCAACCUGGGAAUUGCAUUGGAGACUGCAAGGCUAGAAUCUGGCAGAGGGGGGUAGAAUUCCACGUGUAGCAGUGAAAUGCGUAGAUAUGUGGAGGAACACCGAUGGCGAAGGCAGCCCCCUGGGUCAAGAUUGACGCUCAUGCACGAAAGCGUGGGGAGCAAACAGGAUUAGAUACCCUGGUAGUCCCAUGAU
rnacentral:rRNA from 1 species